rnacentral:lncRNA from 1 species
CAGAAUAUGCUUGGACCACCAGACCUUCGCAGUUUGUAUGCAUCUCAAUGGUUAACACAUCCAAACUCAUGGAUUUCCCAUUUUGAGCAAAGGAAUUAACAUGGACCGUCUGGAUCAUGACACGUCAACAUCAUUGCCGUCUAGGGUUCUGCUUUUUUUCUUGGAUUUUAGCUUCUUGCUUGACUUGUGCUCUUUAGAUGCCUUCUUUCGUUUCACAGGCAGGGGUUCUUCCUCGUCUUCGUCUAGGUUCCUGCUUUUUUUCUUGGAUUUUAGCUUCUUGCUUGACUUGUGCUCUUCAGAUGCCUUCUUUCUUUUCACAGGCAGGGGUUCUUCCUCGUCUUUGUCUAGUGUGUCGUUUACAUUUUGUUGUGCCUUAUUUGAAGGUAGAUCUUCAGCAGAUGCAGCGACGUCUGUUUGAGCAAAUUUGCAUCAGAGAAUGUUAGGUAAU